rnacentral:rRNA from 1 species
UACGAAGGGGGCUAGCGUUGCUCGGAAUCACUGGGCGUAAAGCGCACGUAGGCGGAUUGUUCAGUUAGGGGUGAAAUCCCAGGGCUCAACCCUGGAACUGCCUUUAAUACUGCCAAUCUAGAGUUCGAGAGAGGUGAGUGGAAUUCCGAGUGUAGAGGUGAAAUUCGUAGAUAUUCGGAGGAACACCAGUGGCGAAGGCGGCUCACUGGCUCGACACUGACGCUGAGGUGCGAAAGCGUGGGGAGCAAACAGG